UGGGGAAUCUUGGACAAUGGGGGCAACCCUGAUCCAGCCAUGCCGCGUGAGUGAUGAAGGCCUUAGGGUCGUAAAGCUCUUUCGCCUGUGAAGAUAAUGACGGUAGCAGGUAAAGAAACCCCGGCUAACUCCGUGCCAGCAGCCGCGGUAAUACGGAGGGGGUUAGCGUUGUUCGGAAUUACUGGGCGUAAAGCGCACGUAGGCGGACCAGAAAGUUGGGGGUGAAAUCCCGGGGGCUCAACCCCGGAACUGCCUCCAAAACUAUUGGUCUAGAGUUCGAGAGAGGUGAGUGGAAUUCCAAGUGUAGAGGUGAAAUUCGUAGAUAUUUGGAGGAACACCAGUGGCGAAGGCGGCUCACUGGCUCGAUACUGACGCUGAGGUGCGAAAGUGUGGGGAGCAAACAGGAUUAGAUACCCCUGGUAGUCCACACCGUAAAACGAUGAAUGCCCAGUCGUCGGGUAGCAUGCUAUUCGGUGACACACCUAACGGAUUAAGCAUUCCGGCCUGGGGAGUACGGUCGCAAGAUUAAAA
rnacentral:rRNA from 1 species